AGUAACACGUGGAUGAUCUGCCCUUGAGUUGGGGAUAGCCCAUGGAAACAUGGAGUAAUACCGAAUACGAUCCGGACCUUAUGGGGACCGGAGGAAAAGCGCUUCGGCGCUGCUCGAGGAUGAGUCCGCGGCUGAUUAGUUAGUUGGUGGGGUAAAGGCCUACCAAGGCAGCGAUCAGUAGCCGGCCUGAGAGGGUGAACGGCCACACUGGGACUGAGAUACGGCCCAG
rnacentral:rRNA from 1 species